rnacentral:tRNA from 1 species
CCCAUAGCUCAGUUGGUUAGAGCAGCGGACUCAUAAUCCGCCGGUCCAAGGUUCGAGUCCUUGUGGGC